rnacentral:rRNA from 1 species
UACGUAGGGUGCAAGCGUUGUCCGGAAUUAUUGGGCGUAAAGAGCUCGUAGGCGGUUUUUUAAGUCCGUUGUGAAAUCCCUGGGCUCAACCUGGGAAUGGGCAGUGGAUACUGGAAAGCUAGAGUGCGGUAGAGGGUGAGUGGAAGUUCCCGGUGUAGCAGUGAAAUGCGUAGAGAUCGGGAGGAACACCAGUGGCGGAAGGCGGCCUACCUGGACCAGCACUGACACUGAGGCACGAAGCG